GCCGAUAUAGCUUAGCUGGUAAAGCACCUGACUUGUAAUCAGGAGUUACGGGUUCGAGUCCUGUUAUCGGCUCCA
rnacentral:tRNA from 1 species